AGUAAUCCACUGGGGUACGCUUCCGCGCUGUGGAGAGUAUGUUCUUUUGCUCUUCACAGUAAAUCUUGCUAAUGCUCACUUUUUGGGUCCACACUACUUUUAUGAACUGUAACACUCACUGCGAAGGUCUUUAGCUUAACUCCUGAAGCCAGCAAGACCACGAAUCCUCUGGGAGGCAUGAACAACUCCUGACCCGCCACCUUAAAGAGCUGUAACACUCACUGUGAAGGUCUGCGGCUUCACUCCUGAAGUCAGCGAGACCACGAACGCACCAGAAGGAAGAAACUCCCCACACAUGUGAACAUCUGAAGGAACAAACUCCCGACACUCCAUCUUCAAGAACUGUAACACUCACCGUGAGGGUCUGCAGCUUCAUUCUUGAAGUCAGCAAGACCAAGAACCCACCAGAAGAAACCAAUUCCGGCCACAGUGUCUCCUUGGCUUACUGUGGAAAAACUCAAGGGGAGAUUAUUCUCUGAAAAAUCUUACCAGAGAAAAGAAAAUCAGACAAAUGAUGUGCUCUCAUUUAUUCUUCACUUUAAUCCUAAAGAGGUGAAAAUCUGACAGCUCAAAAUGAAGCAAAAACCCAAGAUUAAAACAGACACCAUUUUGUGCCCACUCAGUCUUCUUUCCAGGGUCAUACAUGUGUUUAUAACCGCACUUCUACAUUCUAUUAUGAGGGCAAGAGUUGUGGCUGCUAUAUAAAUGCUUCCUAGCAUAGUUCCUGACAACUAGGUGAUUCAUGAAUAUUUGCUGAAGAAAUAAAAAUAACUUUAUGAACAUCGUUACACAUCCUGCUUAAUUUUUCAAUUCGCAUAAUUUUUUUCUGUAUAUCCUCUAAUUUAAUACUAUUUCAUAGUUAUGGUAUUUGUUAAAGGAAUAUAAAACAUCAAUACGCAGCAAUAGAUCAACUGUACCAUACCUCCAAAAUACAAUGUAGCCAGUUGUCAACUCUACCUAUGAAAGAAAUUGGUCCAGCCUUGGACAGGCAUGGUGGCUCAUGCCUGUAAUCCUAGCACUUUGGGAGGCUGAGGCGAGCGCAUUGCCUGAGCUCAGGAGUUUGAGACCACCCUGGGCAACGUGGUGAAACCCCAUCUCUCCUAAAACAAAAAAUUAGCCAGGCGCGGUGGCAGAUGCCUGGUAGUCCCAGCUACUCCAGAGGCUGAGGCACUAGAAUUGCUUGAACCUGGGAGGCAGAGGUUGCAAGUAGACAAGAUCGUGCCACUGCACACCAGCCUGGGUGACAGAGUGAGACACUGUCUCAGAAAAAAAAAAUAAAAAUGUUUAAAAUUUUUAAAAAGAA
rnacentral:lncRNA from 1 species